GGAAUAUAGCUCAACGGUAGAGCAGCACUCUUAUACGGUGUCGGUUAAAGGUUCGGGCCCUUUUAUUUCCA
rnacentral:tRNA from 1 species